CCUACGGGUGGCAGCAGUGGGGAAUAUUGCGCAAUGGGCGCAAGCCUGACCCAGCAACGCCGCGUGAGGGAAGAAGGCUUUCGGGUUGUAAACUUCUUUUGUCAGGGAAGAGUAGGAGACGAUACCUGACGAAUAAGCCACGGCUAACUACGUGCCAGCAGCCGCGGUAAUACGUAGGUGGCAAGCGUUGUCCGGAUUUACGGGGUGUAAAGGGCGGGUAGCCGGGUUGACAAGUCAGAUGUGAACUCCUUCGGCUUAACCGCAGAACUGCAUUUGAAACUGUUGAUCUAGAGUACUGGAGAGGCAGACGGAAUUCCUGGUGUAGCGGUGAAAUGCGUAGAGAUCAGGAGGAACACCAGUGGCGAAGGCGGUCUGCUGGACAGAAACUGACGGUGAGGUGCGAAAGCGUGGGGAGCAAACAGGAUUAGAUACCCGGGUAGUC
rnacentral:rRNA from 1 species